rnacentral:tRNA from 1 species
GGACAGGUGGCCGAGUGGCUGAAGGCGCACGCCUGGAAAGCGUGUAACGGGAAACCGUUCGAGGGUUCGAAUCCCUCCCUGUCCGCCA